rnacentral:rRNA from 1 species
UACGAAGGGGGCUAGCGUUGUUCGGAAUCACUGGGCGUAAAGCGCACGCAGGCGGGUCGUUAAGUCAGGGGUGAAAUCCCGAGGCUCAACCUCGGAACUGCCUUUGAUACUGGCGACCUUUGAGUCCGGGAGAGGUUGGUGGAACUCCGAGUGUAGAGGUGAAAUUCGUAGAUAUUCGGAAGAACACCAGUGGCGAAGGCGGCCAACUGGUCCGGCACUGACGCUGAGGUGCGAAAGCGUGGGGAGCAAACAGG